rnacentral:tRNA from 1 species
GGGUCCGUAGCUCAAUUGGUUAGAGUACUACCUUGACAUGGUAGGGGUCGGCGAUUCGAGUUCGCCCGGACCCACCA